UACAGAGGGGGCAAGCGUUGUUCGGAUUUACUGGGCGUAAAGGGCGCGUAGGCGGCAAUUCAAGUCAUCUGUGAAAUCUCCGGGCUUAACUCGGAACGGUCAGAUGAUACUGCUUUGCUAGAGUGCGGAAGGGGCAAUCGGAAUUCUUGGUGUAGCGGUGAAAUGCGUAGAUAUCAAGAGGAACACCUGAGGUGAAGACGGGUUGCUGGGCCGACACUGACGCUGACAGCGCGAAAGCCAGGGGAGCAAACGGG
rnacentral:rRNA from 1 species